rnacentral:rRNA from 1 species
AAACCAACAGGGAUUGCCUCAGUAACGGCGAGUGAAGCGGCAACAGCUCAAAUUUGAAAUCUGGCUCUUUCAGGGUCCGAGUUGUAAUUUGUAGAAGAUGCUUUGGGUGUAGCUCCGGUCUAAGUUCCUUGGAACAGGACGUCAUAGAGGGUGAGAAUCCCGUACGUGACUGGUUGCUUUCGCUCGUGUAAAGCUCUUUCGACGAGUCGAGUUGUUUGGGAAUGCAGCUCAAAAUGGGUGGUAAAUUUCAUCUAAAGCUAAAUAUUGGCCAGAGACCGAUAGCGCACAAGUAGAGUGAUCGAAAGAUGAAAAGCACUUUGGAAAGAGAGUUAAACAGUACGUGAAAUUGUUGAAAGGGAAGCGCUUGCAACCAGACUUGCGCGCUGUUGAUCAUCCGAGCUUUUGCCCGGUGCACUCGGCAGCGUUCAGGCCAGCAUCGGUUUUGGUGGGCGGAUAAAGGCCUUGGGAAUGUAGCUUCUUUCGGGGAGUGUUAUAGCCCUCGGUGCAAUGCGCCCUACCGGGACCGAGGACCGCGCUUCGGCUAGGAUGCUGGCGUAAUGGUUGUAAGCGAC